CGUACACUCCUACGGGAGGCAGCAGUGAGGAAUAUUGGACAAUGGGUGGAAGCCUGAUCCAGCCAUCCCGCGUGCAGGAAGACGGCCCUAUGGGUUGUAAACUGCUUUUAUCUGGGGAUAAACCUACUUACGUGUAAGUAGCUGAAGGUACCAGAAGAAUAAGCACCGGCUAACUCCGUGCCAGCAGCCGCGGUAAUACGGAGGGUGCAAGCGUUAUCCGGAUUUAUUGGGUUUAAAGGGUCCGUAGGCGGACUGAUAAGUCAGUGGUGAAAUCCGACAGCUUAACUGUCGAACUGCCAUUGAUACUGUUAGUCUUGAGUAAGGUUGAAGUGGCUGGAAUAAGUAGUGUAGCGGUGAAAUGCAUAGAUAUUACUUAGAACACCAAUUGCGAAGGCAGGUCACUAAGUCUUAACUGACGCUGAUGGACGAAAGCGUGGGGAGCGAACAGGAUUAGAAACCCUAGUAGUCCCAUGAU
rnacentral:rRNA from 1 species